UACGGAGGGUGCAAGCGUUAAUCGGAAUUACUGGGCGUAAAGCGUGCGCAGGCGGUUUUGUAAGUCUGUCGUGAAAGCCCCGGGCUCAACCUGGGAAUGGCGAUGAAGACUGCAAGGCUUGAAUCUGGCAGAGGGGGGUAGAAUUCCACGUGUAGCAGUGAAAUGCGUAGAGAUGUGGAGGAACACCGAUGGCGAAGGCAGCCCCCUGGGUCAAGAUUGACGCUCAUGCACGAAAGCGUGGGGAGCAAACAGG
rnacentral:rRNA from 1 species